UACGUAGGCAGCAAACGUUGUUCGGAGUUACUGGGCGUAAAGAGUACGUAGGCGGUUUGCUAAGUUUGGUGUGAAAUCUCCUGGCUUAACUGGGAGGGUGCGCCGAAUACUGGCGAGCUUGAGUGUUGGAGAGGAUAGCGGAAUUCCUGGUGUAGCGGUGAAAUGCGUAGAUAUCAGGAGGAACACCGGUGGUGUAGACGGCUAUCUGGACAACAACUGACGCUGAGGUACGAAAGCGUGGGUAGCAAACAGG
rnacentral:rRNA from 1 species